rnacentral:misc_RNA from 1 species
AAGUCGUAACAAGGUUUCCGUAGGUGAACCUGCGGAAGGAUCAUUAACACGUAUCCAAACGUUAAACCCCCCUGUGAACCUUCAGUCGUACUCGUACGUCCGUUAGAAAAAGCAGCAAUCCCUGGUAAAUCAUCGCCGAACAGUUUUCGAUUCAGGGACGUCUGCAAGGAGCGUGCAUGUUGUGCGUGUAAGUGGCCUGGCAUCCCCAAGCAGUUAGUGUCUGAAAGUGUCACUAACGUUAGUGUCUGAAAGUGUCACUAACAUCGGCCGACGACCGGGUCACUGGGUGCAAGCCCCCUUAUCACACCCCUGCUCUAUCUAUGGUGAUCCUGCGGGAAGUCCUGCGGUCGAACGCCGAAACCGAACAACUGUUAACAAUGGAUAUCUUGGUUCUC